rnacentral:misc_RNA from 1 species
GAAACUUCGGCACCUUUGCCGCCUUGAUCUUGAUGGGUUGGUUCGUGCGCGGGUUGCGGCCCGUGCGCGCUGCGCGCUUGCCUACGACGAACGUUCCGAAACCGACCAGGGUGACCGAGUUACCCUUUUUCAGGGAAAUGCGGAUACCG